UGUGUAGGCGGAUCGUUAAGUGCCUUGUGAAAUCCCACCGCUCAACGGUGGAACUGCUUGGCAUACUGGCGGUCUUGGGCCAUCUAGGGGCGACUGGAACAGACGGUGGAGCGGUGAAAUGCGUAGAUAUCGUUUGGAACGCCAAUGGUGAAAACAGGUCGCUGGGGAUGUGCCGACGCUGAGACACGAAAGCCAGGGAGCAAC
rnacentral:rRNA from 1 species